CAACGAUCGCCUCUUAUCUUUGUGGAAAGUUGAUCCCAAUUUUUUCUACAUUUGGGGGUUAGAAAAAGUGUCUCUAUGUUUUUUUCAAUUGUUUACAGCUCAUGGAGGGUCGAAUGAUUAUUUACGGGUUUAUUGACCUGUUAGAUAUCAAUGAAACAUGGGCAGGCGUUCUAAAUCUCGUACAAUGUUAACUUGUAUGAAGAUGUUUCGAUUGUGCUCCUGUGGACCUCCAUUGCCGAGCUAUUGUCGACGAAAAAUCUGUGCCAUAUACAUCCAGAGCACCAGCUACUUAUAUACGUUCACGAUAAAAGGUCAAAUAAUCGAUUGCCGGUUUCUGGAGUGAUUACGAUAACUUCACGACAUUGGGAAGUUAAAAAACAGCUCUGAUACAACUCAAUAAAUUUAGGAGAUAUUUUUCCUAGCCCCCCUCUCCACUAGAUCGUAAGCUUUUCGAGAUGAAUUUUCAAGAGAGUGAUGAUAAACUGUUAACUCACCUGGCAUGAAAUACUCCACGUGUUCUCCUCUGAAAAUUGACGAGAAUCAGGCGUAAUGAAAUUUCAAAGGAAAAAAUUAUAUUUUAUUUACGUUAUCUUUUGGUUUUCAUGAUUCAGGAAUAUUCUAUUAGCUACGGAGCUGAUAUACUGUGUGAACUUUUCCGGGUACUUCAAUUGAUUAGAUUACAGAAAAUUCCCUAGUUGUAAUGUAAACAAUUGAUUUUUCUCCAUUUAAAAUUAAGAAAUGGACGUCUCAUGAUUCCAUUCUUAUUUAUAAUUAUUUGAAAAGAGAGAAACCAGUCGUGAUGUUGCUAAAUAUAUUAUGCCGCCGAUAAAAAGUAACAUAUUUGAGAUCUUUGAGAGUAUAAGAAAAAUUUUAUUGUAAAGUUUCUAUGCUGACGAUAGAGAUAAAAGUCACGAAAAUUUAUGUCUAGUCUAUUUUGAACAAUAGUGAGUUUAUUCAAUGAUAAAAUUGCGAGGUCACAGGUCACUCCGAAAUCGCGUUGUUCAGUGAUUUCCGAUGAUUUCUUGAAUUAUAAUUUGCCAAUAACAAUUGGCAAGUAUGAGUUUGUUUUGAUUUUUCGUGAUUUCCGCUUAAUUUCAAUAAUGUGAUAAUUGUUAAAAAUCGAAUAUGCAGAAUAUUCGUGGAGUCAACGAGCUCGGAAAGGCCUUAUGUGUACAACAAUAAGAGUCAAAUGGCGUGUACAUUUGAAGGGCAUGAGGAUCUCCAAUGAGUGCGCUCAAAUAAAAAUAAAUGAGUUUCACUUUCAUCAAUGAUAUUUAAUUAUUUCUGAAAUCACCCGAUUUCGUCAUGAGUUCUACUGUUUUUCAAUGAUUUUCAGACGUCAUUAGAAAUCACUGCCGGAACGGAAAAUCA